UUCUGGCUCAGGAUGAACGCUAGCGACAGGCUUAACACAUGCAAGUCGAGGGGCAGCAUAAAAGUAGCAAUACUUGGUGGCGACCGGCGCACGGGUGAGUAACGCGUAUGCAACCUACCUAUCAGAGGGGAAUAACCCGGCGAAAGUCGGACUAAUACCGCAUAAAACAGGGACACCGCAUGGUGAUAUUUGUUAAAGAAAUUCGCUGAUAGAUGGGCAUGCGUUCCAUUAGGUAGUUGGUGAGGUAACGGCUCACCAAGCCGACGAUGGAUAGGGAACUGAGAGGUUGGUCCCCCACACUGGUACUGAGACACGGACCAGACUCCUACGGGAGGCAGCAGUGAGGAAUAUUGGUCAAUGGGCGAGAGCCUGAACCAGCCAAGUCGCCGUGAAGGAAGAAGGAUCUAUGGUUCGUAAACUUCUUUUGCAGGGGAAUAAAGUGCAGGACGUGUCCUGUUUUGUAUGUACCCUGAGAAUAAGGAUCGGCUAACUCCGUGCCAGCAGCCGC
rnacentral:rRNA from 1 species